rnacentral:rRNA from 1 species
UACGUAGGGGGCAAGCGUUGUUCGGAAUUACUGGGCGUAAAGGGCGCGUAGGCGGCAUGGCAAGUCGGGAGUGAAAGGCCUGGGCUCAACCGAGGAACUGCUUUCGAGACUGCCAAGCUAGAGUGCGGAAGGGGCAUCUGGAAUUCCCAGUGUAGCGGUGAAAUGCGUAGAUAUUGGGAGGAACACCAGCGGCGAAGGCGGCGCUCUGGGCCGGUACUGACGCUGAGGAGCGAAAGCGUGGGGAGCAAACAGG